ACGGGUGAGUAACGCGUGGGAACAUACCCUUUUCUACGGAAUAACGCAGGGAAACUUGUGCUAAUACCGUAUGAGCCCUUCGGGGGAAAGAUUUAUCGGGAAAGGAUUGGCCCGCGUUGGAUUAGCUAGUUGGUGGGGUAAAGGCCUACCAAGGCGACGAUCCAUAGCUGGUCUGAGAGGAUGAUCAGCCACAUUGGGACUGAGACACGGCCCAAACUCCUACGGGAGGCAGCAGUGGGGAAUAUUGGACAAUGGGCGCAAGCCUGAUCCAGCCAUGCCGCGUGAGUGAUGAAGGUCUUAGGAUUGUAAAGCUCUUUCACCGGAGAAGAUAAUGACGGUAUCCGGAGAAGAAGCCCCGGCUAACUUCGUGCCAGCAGCCGCGGUAAUACGAAGGGGGCUAGCGUUGUUCGGAAUUACUGGGCGUAAAGCGCACGUAGGCGGAUAUUUAAGUCAGGGGUGAAAUCCCAGAGCUCAACUCUGGAACUGCCUUUGAUACUGGGUAUCUUGAGUAUGGAAGAGGUAAGUGGAAUUGCGAGUGUAGAGGUGAAAUUCGUAGA
rnacentral:rRNA from 3 species